CAUGGUCAGUAGAGGUGCAUGUG
rnacentral:miRNA from 1 species